AGCAUUCAUCAACAACUUUUGAAACAUAUACGAAAAUUAUCUAAAAAUCCUCAAAAUACCAAUUCAGAAGGAACAUCUACAGGAACACCUGACGAGGCUGCACCCUUGGCAGGAAGAACACCUGACACGGCUGAAAGCUUGGUGGAAAAAACACCUGAUGAGGCUGCACCCUUAGUGGAGGGAACAUCUGACAAAAUUCAAUGUCUGGGGAAAGCAACAUCUGGAAAGUUUGAACAGUCAGCAGAAGAAUAUGUUAGGCCAUGUGUCUCUAUAACAGCUAUUGAACUCUGCAUUGUACAGUGAAAGCAGUCAUAGAUAAUGUGUGAGCAAAUAGGCAUGAUUGCACUCCAAUAAAACUUUGUAUAAAAAACCAUUUGGUAAGCUGAAUUUGGCCUGUGAUAUAUAGUUUCCUGGCCCUUCACACAGAAGAUAGAUGGAGUGUAAUUACAUAAAAAGUUUUAAAGACAAAGUAAGCUUUUGUAGUAGUUCAUGCUGUAGUCUUUUUUUUUUUUGUCACCAAUCUGUGGCCUAGUAUCAAUCUAUUAUGAAAAUCUGACCCAUCCAGGGUAAAAUGAAUCAAGUUCAGAAGCUCAAUUUACAGAUUUAAACCUGUAGGUCUUUCUUUG
rnacentral:lncRNA from 1 species